GACGAACGCUGGCGGCGUGCUUAACACAUGCAAGUCGAACGCAGUUGCGAACGGGUGAGUAACGCGUAAUCAACCUGCCCUUCCGAGGGGGACAACAGUUGGAAACGACUGCUAAUACCGCAUACUUAAGAACGGGCUUUCGUGGGAUUAGCUAGUUGGCGGGGUCACGGCCCACCAAGGCGAUGAGGAGUAGCCGGUCUGAGAGGAUGAACGGCCACAUUGGGACUGGGACACGGCCCAGACUCCUACGGGAGGCAGCAGGGGGGAAUCUUCCGCAAUGGACGAAAGUCGGACGGAGCAACGCCGCGUGAGUGAUGACGGCCUGCGGGUUGUAAAGCUCUGUUAAUCGGGACGCGGUACCGGAAUAGAAAGCCACGGCUAACUACGUGCCAGCAGCCGCGGUAAUUC
rnacentral:rRNA from 1 species